GACCGCAAGAACAUUAAUACGG
rnacentral:siRNA from 1 species